UCUGCACCUGAGCCCCUUGUUGCUAUUUCGUCUGUUCCCGCGCUGAAGCUGAGCCACACAGAGCCAAAGGGGAAAGCGGCACCCGCCUCUCCCCUCCUCCUCCUCCUCCCCCGCGCUUCCGCUGGCGUCGCCCGUCUCGCAUGACAACAAAUGGUAGCAGAGGAAGUCUAUUUCCAUCGACUUGUGAAAGGGGGAGAGAGAAAGGAAUUCUGCCGCCAUAAGAGCUCUGCUCACGCUAAGAAGAGCUGACUCACCAGACAGAAAACAAAACCGAGGCUCUAGGACCCUCUUCCGUCCUCGCCGGGAUGCUCUCUAUUCCGCCCUGGAGCAGCUGUGCUGCGGGGGCAGCCGAGCUGCGGGGGCCUUGAACCAGGUAGGCUUACCCGAAGACAGAAGAGGGGGGUUUGGCAGUGGCUUGCGGUUGAGCCGAGCCCCAAGAAUGGUGCAUCAUGGGACUGCACAUGCAUAGACUGCUAGAGGCUGACAGUGGCCGAACCCAGGGUUUCAGGGAUGAGCCCUGGUUUCUAGGGAGCCAAACCGCGAAAGAAGAUGUCCUCAGUUCAGCGUGAUUUUCCACCACCGAGGAGAGAGAUAGAGAUUUCACUGCCCGAACCCAGAGCUGUCGGGUUUUCACCUCCGCUGCUCCCCAAAAUGGCGGCCGAUCCACCUCCGGUGAUAUGCAAAUCGAGAACUGUGCACGAAAUCUCGAAAAGAGCCCCAAGGACAACGAACCACACCAACUUCAGGGCCAUGGACCGGAUCGGACAGCCGGCAAGAGGUCCCUGGACAUCACCAGACCCGUGGAACAGCAGCCGACAUGUCGCCAUAACUUAAACAGUACAUCUGCAGAAUCAGGACCCCAGACAACGAGCCGAAAAUCGUCUUCCUGGGCACGCUCGCGAGGACGGAAGCCCCGGCUCUGCUGCCUAGCAGACCCGAUCUCCUGCUCCUCAGCGUCGUCAAGUGGGAGCAGCGGCGGUGUGUGCGACCCCUCGGGCCCCCAACCCAGAGCUGGUCACUCAGUGAAGGCCUUAAAAAGGAGCGGGUCUCGUGGCCCAUUUAUUUCAGGGACGGGCGGCCAAGCUGCCCCAAGCACCUUGCUGGACACUGUCACCCUCCCUUAGGGGUGGCAUUGGCCGUGCCUCCCCGGGUAAGAUGCAAGUGCACCUGACACCCCCUCCCAAGAUGGCGCUGGCCACGCUACUUGGAACCCAUUUUCCUGCCUUGAUCCUUCUCUUCCGCCCACGUUUUCCUGCCAGCCCCACCCGUCCUCCAAUGGCCCUGCACCAUCCUGCAGUGAGGCCAGCCUCUAUUGGGGGGAGGUGAGGUUGGAUUAAUCCCUCAGUCCUUCUUCUGGCUCCCCCUCUGAUGGGAGGGGUUGCCGGAGGGGCCCCUCCGGUUAGAGGACCUUCCUUUGUAAGAGAGCUUUUCCCCUUUGGUGUGUGUGUGGGGGGGCUCUUUGAAGGGAGUGGAGCUGGAAACCCUGGACCAGGGCUCCACUGUUUUCUUCGCCCUGAAACGGUGGUGCCCAGGUCCACCCCUCUAUUCCAUCUCCUAAAUGUACCUUGCUCAAAGUUCCCUUAUUAUUUCAAUACAAGUUUUUCCCAUUGCUUGUGAUAAUUUGGAAAUAACUUCUUGGAUUGAGUUAUAUUUUAUAGAAGGAAAGCUCAUCCUCUCUAAUUACUGCCCACAACACUAUGCCAACUGAGCAAUCAAAUAAUCAAAUUGGAGAAACCACGUCGCCGUUCGCUGCUUCAGCUCUGCUAGAAUUCGAAAACCACAAGCAUUACAUCAUGAAUCCUGCUUCCAUCCUCGAUACAGAAUGUGUUUAUAAUAAUUUUGUACCCUUUAUCUUAAAUUGUAAUGUGAAAAAGAUUUUUACCCCAUGCAUUGUAACUAUAAUUGGUGUAUCACUUUCCGAUGUCUCUCAACUUACGUUUUCUCAGUAAUUGUUAAUUUGUUUUUACCUCAGAACUCCCUUUCCUUUAUGUAAACCCAAAGAGGGAGUUGCGGCCCCCAUUCCCCCUCGCCACGCAGUUGGUCCCUACUCCACCCCUCCCCGCCUUUCCCAUCGCUGCCCCCGCCCCCGGGGUCUCCUGCCUUCCCGGUGUCCCAGAGAUUUCCUGCCCCUGUCCUAUCCUAAUUGGCCGUGGCUCUGCUUCCCCUCCCCCCCCCCCCCCCCCCCAGUUUGAAAGUUAUAACCGAGACCCAGCCGGUGCCCCGGUGUCUUGGGGAACAGGCACCUACAAUAAACACGUGUCUGCACCUGA